GACGAACGCUGGCGGCGUGCUUAACACAUGCAAGUCGAACGGAAAGGCCCUGCUUGCAGGGUACUCUCGUGGCGAACGGGUGUGUAUCACGCGGGUGUUCUGUCCUCUACUUUGUGAUAUGCCUUGGAAACUCGGUCUAUUAUCCCAUAUGAGCCCUCCUUCUUGUGAUGGUUGGUUAGUUUUUUCGGUUUGGUAUGAGCUCGCGGCCUAUCGGCUUGUUGGUGGGGUAAUGGCUUACUAAGGCGGCGAGGGGUGGCGGGCCUGCGAGGGUGGCCGGCCAAAUGGGGAUGGGGAAAGGCCCAGAAUCCUAAGGGGAGGAAGAAGGGGGAAAAAUGCAAAAAGGGGGGGAGGCCGAAGGAGCGAAGGCGCGUGGGGGGUGAAGGCCUUCGGGUUGUAAAAUCGGUUCGCUAGGGAAGAAGCUUUUUGUGACGGUACCUAGAUAAGAAGCACCGGCUAACUACGUG
rnacentral:rRNA from 1 species